UCACUUUUUUCUUCAAAAAAGGCAGUUGUUACAUUUUUCCAUAUAAGAUGAGAGGGAAGAACAAUAAAACAAAUUCAAAAGAAGGCUCUAAAAGCAGGGGAAAAACCUCUCUGUUCUUAUUUAGGGUACUCAAGCUGUAAUUUGUCUUAAAAGCAGCUAGUUUAAAAAAAAAAAAAAAAACCAACACAUGCUAGAAAACCCCACACACAGAAAAAAGCAGCGUCCAGCUUUUUAAAAUUCUGCCUCUACACCUCCUUUCUCAAUGACAUCAGCUGGAGGCUCCCCACCUGCCCAGUUGCCAUAGCAGUUACACAAAGACAUACAAUGACAUCAGUUGGCAUGAUAUCAGCUCUUUGAGUGCAAACAAUACAAGAAGAACUACUUUGUUUAAGGCCUUUGGUGCAACUGUGUUCUGGGGAGCCAAUGAUGUAAUGCUAACAGGAACAGAUGGAUGCUAUGAUAUACUCCAUGGAAACAGAACAUCAGAGCCACUCAAGAUUCUAUAAGCACAAGAAUCUGUGGAAGAACAAAGCCUGGAUGAACUGGAGCUGAUGUCAGGCUGCCAAGGCUGAAAUCUUCUUCAAAGACAGGAGAGCAGCCUGUAAAGUUGAGCUGCAGACACAGACAAGCAAACUGAGAGCUCGCACGUGUGGAUGCCAGCAGGAAAGA
rnacentral:lncRNA from 1 species